rnacentral:rRNA from 1 species
GCGGAGGAAAAGAAAAUAACAAUGAUUUCCCUAGUAACGGCGAGUGAAGAGGAAAGAGCUCAAAGUUGGAACCUGUUUGGCCUAGCUAAACAGGAUUGUAAACUGUAGAAGUGUUUUCCAGGCAAUCCGAGUUAAUAAGUCCUUUGGAACAGGGCAUCAUAGAGGGUGAGAAUCCCGUCUUUGAUUCGAGAUAUUUUGUCUUUUGCGAUACACUUUCAAAGAGUCAGGUUGUUUGGGAAUGCAGCCUAAAUUGGGUGGUAAAUCUCACCUAAAGCUAAAUAUUGGCGAGAAACCGAUAGCGAACAAGUACCGUGAGGGAAAGAUGAAAAGAACUUUGAAAAGAGAGUUAAACAGUAUGUGAAAUUGUUAAAAGGGAACCGUUUGGAGCCAGACUGGCUUGUCUGUAAUCAAUCUAGGUUUCGUGCCUGGAUGCACUUGCAGACUAUUUGCCUGCCAACGACAAUUUUUUUUGAGUGUAAAAACUAUUGGAAAUGUGGCCAAUAUUUAUUUAUUGGUGUUAUAGUCCUUUAGAAAAUACCUUGAAUUGGAUUGAGGAACGCAGCGAAUGCUUCUCUUUUGAGGCAAAGUCUUUUAUUGGGAUUUACGGAUCAGACUGUGGCAUUGUCAC